GACAGAGGAUGCAAGCGUUAUCCGGAAUGAUUGGGCGUAAAGCGUCUGUAGGUGGCUUUUUUAAGUCCGCCGUCAAAUCCCAGGGCUCAACCCUGGACAGGCGGUGGAAACUACCAAGCUGGAGUACGGUAGGGGCAGAGGGAAUUUCCGGUGGAGCGGUGAAAUGUGGUAGAUAUUGGAAAGACCACCGAUGGCGAAGGCACUCUACUGGGCCAUGACUGACACUGGAGAGACGAAAGCUAGGGGAGCAAAUGGG
rnacentral:rRNA from 1 species